rnacentral:lncRNA from 1 species
UCGAUUUACAUCAAACGAACAUAGAGCUAGAGCUAGAACAAGAGCAUUCUUUCGUAAUCUUUUAGUGUAAACGAAAGCUAGAGGUAUCGAUUUACAUCAAACGAACAUAGAGCUAGAGCUAGAACAAGAGCAUUCUUUCGUAAUCUUUUAGUGUAAACAAAAGCUAGAUCGAAUGUUCUUUGCUCAUUCGUGUCAAUUCUGUGGUUAGUAUUGGUAGUGCUUCGUUAUGUCUGACUCUGACAGCGAUAUCAUUAUUGCAAGUGCUGCAUUUAUUAUUUUGUCGCAAAAACUCAAAAAUAAAAGAAGGAAGAGACGUUGGUGGGUUACAAAUUUAAUGCAUCGAAGGAAACUGGAUAAUGUAGGUGAAACAAUGACGGAUAUGCAAAAACAAGAAGAAAGUGGACAAUUCCAAAACUUUUGUAUAAUGGCGCCAGAGGAUUUUGAUCAUUUACUAUCUCUGACCAGCGAAAAAUUCGAAAAUCAAGUACGAAUUUUAGAGACUCGAUUCCUGCAUAUGACAAACUAGCAGUGACUUUGCGAUUUUUGGCAACUGGAGAUUCCUAUGAAAGCCUCAUGUAUUUUACUAAAAUGUCUAAAUCGACAAUAUGUAAUGCUAUAUCUGAAGUAUGUGCAGCAAUAAAUGAAGCAUUGCAAGACUAUGCUAAGACACCGUCAACAGAAGAAGAAUGGCUAUCAAUCGCUCAGGAAUUCAAUAAGAAGUGGAAUUUUCCAAACUGUAUUGGCGCUGUAGACGGGAAACACUGCGUCAUACAAGCACCUAUUAACAGCGGAAGCGACUUUUUUAAUUAUAAAUCCACAUUCAGUGUGGUGUUAAUGGCCAUAGUAGACGCUAACUACAAUUUUAUAUUCGCCGAUAUUGGUUGUCAGGGCAGAAUAUCAGAUGGCGGAGUUUUCAGAAACACUUCUUUCUAUCAGAAACUACAAAAUAAUGAAUUAAAUUUGCCCAAUGACCAAAGCCUUCCAGGAAGACAACAGAAUAUGCCAUUCGUAUUUUUUAGCAGAUGAUGCAUUCCCAUUACAAAGACACAUCAUGAAGCCGUAUCCUGGUACUCAUGCCAGGGGAUCCGAAAAACGAAUUUACAACUACCGUUUGUCUAGAGCAAGACGAAUAGUAGAAAAUGCAUUUGGCAUUCUUUCAGCAGUUUUUCGUGUAUUGCGAAAACCUAUGUUGCUACAACCUGAUAAAGCAUCUCUCGUCGUAAUAACCUGCGUGUACCUACAUAAUUAUUUGAUGAAAAGGAAAGCUUCUAGGAAGCUGUAUAAUUCACCGGGCAUGAUGGACAGAAUUGAAGAUGACGUCGUCAUUCCAGGCCAGUGGAGAAAUAUGGACCGUUUAUCAUCAUUUCUCCCGUUACCCAACACUGGACGAAGACACACUUUGCAAUGUGAAAAUAUCCGGAAAGAAUUUUCAGACUAUUUUAAUUUGACUAAUAUUUUGCCAUGGCAAAACAAUAUUGCAUAAUGAAAGCGAUAUGUUACUUUAUAAAAGCGUAAAUAACCUAACCUAAAAUUAUGGUAGAAUACCCAAUAAAUAAACGUAACUACCUACUUA